rnacentral:rRNA from 1 species
AGUGAACGCUGGCGGUAGGCCUAACACAUGCAAGUCGAACGGCAGCACAGUAAGAGCUUGCUCUUACGGGUGGCGAGUGGCGGACGGGUGAGGAAUACAUCGGAAUCUACUUUUUCGUGGGGGAUAACGUAGGGAAACUUACGCUAAUACCGCAUACGACCUACGGGUGAAAGCAGGGGAUCUUCGGACCUUGCGCGAUUGAAUGAGCCGAUGUCGGAUUAGCUAGUUGGGGGGGUAAAGGCCCACCAAGGCGAGGAUCCGUAGCUGGUCUGAGAGGCUGGUCAGCCACACUGGAAGUGAGACACGGUCCAUGGUCCUACGGGAGGCAGCAGUGGGGAAUAUUGGACAAUGGGCGCAAGCCUUAUCCAGCCAUACCGCGUGUGUGAAGAAGGCCUUCGGGUUGUAAAGCCCUUUUGUGGGGAAAGAAAAGCAGCAGGUUAAUACCCCGCGGUUCUGACGGUACCCAAAGAAUAAGCACCGGCUAACUUCGUG